UACGGAGGGGGUUAGCGUUGUUCGGAAUGACUGGGCGUAAAGCGCGCGUAGGCGGAUCAGGAAGUUGGGGGUGAAAUCCCGGGGCUCAACCCCGGAAUGGCCUUCAAAACUCCUGGUCUUGAGUUCGAGAGAGGUGAGUGGAAUUCCCAGUGUAGCGGUGAAAUGCGUAGAUAUUGGGAGGAACACCGGUGGCGAAGGCGGCUACCUGGACAGUGACUGACGCUGAGGCGCGAAAGCGAGGGGAGCGAACGGG
rnacentral:rRNA from 1 species